AACGAACGCUGGCGGCAUGCCUAACACAUGCAAGUCGAACGAAGUCUUCGGACUUAGUGGCGCACGGGUGCGUAACGCGUGGGAAUCUGCCCUUGGGUGCGGAAUAACUUCUCGAAAGGGAUGCUAAUACCGCAUAAUGUCGUAAGACCAAAGAUUUAUCACCCAAGGAUGAGCCCGCGUAAGAUUAGCUAGUUGGUGGGUAAAAGCCUACCAAGGCGACGAUCUUUAGCUGGUCUGAGAGGAUGAUCAGCCACACUGGGACUGAGACACGGCCCAGACUCCUACGGGAGGCAGCAGUGGGGGAAUAUUGGACAAUGGGCGCAAGCCUGAUCCAGCAACGCCGCGUGAAUGAUGAAGGCCUUCGGGUCGUAAGUUCUUUGUAAGGGGAGGAAAAUAGACGGUACCUUAAGAAUAAGACUCCGGCUAACUUCGUGCCAGCAGCCGCGGUAAU
rnacentral:rRNA from 1 species